UAUAUAAGAAAAAGCAAGGGACCAAGGACUGACCCUUGGGGCACACCACAGAUAACAUUAUUAUACGAAGAACAAAUCCCAUUGUAUUCCACAAACUGUUUCCUACCGGAGAGGUAAUUCUUAAUCCAGUCAAGGGCCAGUCCUCGAAUCCCAUAAUGAUAAAGUUUCCUCAACAAUAUAUCAUGAUUCACAGUAUCAAAUGCUUUAGAUAGAUCGAU